AUUGAACGCUGGCGGCAUGCCUUACACAUGCAAGUCGAACGGCAGCGGACCUUCGGGUGCCGGCGAGUGGCGAACGGGUGAGUAAUAUAUCGGAACGUACCUUUCAGUGGGGGAUAACGUAGCGAAAGUUACGCUAAUACCGCAUAUUCUGUGAGCAGGAAAGCAGGGGAUCGCAAGACCUUGCGCUGAUUGAGCGGCCGAUAUCAGAUUAGCUAGUUGGUGAGGUAAAGGCUCACCAAGGCGACGAUCUGUAGCGGGUCUGAGAGGAUGAUCCGCCACACUGGAACUGAGACACGGUCCAGACUCCUACGGGAGGCAGCAGUGGGGAAUUUUGGACAAUGGGGGCAACCCUGAUCCAGCCAUUCCGCGUGAGUGAAGAAGGCCUCGGUUGUAAG
rnacentral:rRNA from 1 species